rnacentral:rRNA from 2 species
CAAUCUGCCCUGCACUCUGGGACAAGCCCUGGAAACGGGGUCUAAUACCGGAUAUGACCUUCCUUCGCAUGGGGGUGGGUGUAAAGCUCCGGCGGUGCAGGAUGAGCCCGCGGCCUAUCAGCUUGUUGGUGGGGUGAUGGCCUACCAAGGCGACGACGGGUAGCCGGCCUGAGAGGGCGACCGGCCACACUGGGACUGAGACACGGCCCAGACUCCUACGGGAGGCAGCAGUGGGGAAUAUUGCACAAUGGGCGAAAGCCUGAUGCAGCGACGCCGCGUGAGGGAUGACGGCCUUCGGGUUGUAAACCUCUUUCAGCAGGGAAGAAGCGCAAGUGACGGUACCUGCAGAAGAAGCACCGGCUAACUACGUGCCAGCAGCCGCGGUAAUACGUAGGGUGCGAGCGUUGUCCGGAAUUAUUGGGCGUAAAGAGCUCGUAGGCGGCUUGUCGCGUCGGAUGUGAAAGCCCGGGGCUUAACUCCGGGUCUGCAUUCGAUACGGGCAGGCUAGAGUUCGGUAGGGGAGAUCGGAAUUCCUGGUGUAGCGGUGAAAUGCGCAGAUAUCAGGAGGAACACCGGUGGCGAAGGCGGAUCUCUGGGCCGAUACUGACGCUGAGGAGCGAAAGCGUGGGGAGCGAACAGGAUUAGAUACCCUGGUAGUCCACGCCGUAAACGUUGGGAACUAGGUGUGGGCGACAUUCCACGUUGUCCGUGCC